rnacentral:rRNA from 1 species
AUGAGUUAUGUUAGCUGGAACUGUCGGGGGCUUGGGAACCUCGGGGCAGUUUGAGAGCUUCACAAUAUUGUGAAGCAAGAAGGGCCCGGUCUCCUAUUUGUUAUGGAGACAAAGAUUUCAGCCUUAAUAGUGGAAAAGUUACAGAACACUUUGGGCUUUGCAGGGUGUUUUGGAGUCAACAGUGUUGGUCCAAGUGGAGGGAUCGGUAUGUUUUGGUCCCAGGAUUUUGAUGUUGAGCUCAAGAACUAUUGUUCCAGCCAUAUUGACAAUUUGGUGUGGAGGAAAGGAGUUGCUACAAGACAAUGGAGUUUAACGGGGUUCUAUGGAUCCCCUUGA